rnacentral:rRNA from 1 species
UACAGAGGGGGCUAGCGUUGUUCGGAAUUACUGGGCGUAAAGGGCGCGUAGGUGGCCUGUUAAGUCGAACGUGAAAUCCCCGGGCUCAACCCGGGAACUGCGUCCGAGACUGGCAGGCUCGAAUCCGGGAGAGGGAUGUGGAAUUCCAGGUGUAGCGGUGAAAUGCGUAGAUAUCUGGAGGAACACCGGUGGCGAAGGCGGCAUCCUGGACCGAGAUUGACACUGAUGAGCGAAAGCCAGGGGAGCAAACGGG